CCUGGCUCAGGACGAACGCUGGCGGCGUGCUUAACACAUGCAAGUCGAACGGUAAGGCCCUUCGGGGUACACGAGUGGCGAACGGGUGAGUAACACGUGGGUAAUCUGCCCUGCACUUCGGGAUAAGCCUGGGAAACUGGGUCUAAUACCGGAUAUUCAGCUUUCACCGCAUGGUGGUGGUUGGAAAGUUUUUCGGUGCAGGAUGAGCCCGCGGCCUAUCAGCUUGUUGGUGGGGUAAUGGCCUACCAAGGCGACGACGGGUAGCCGGCCUGAGAGGGUGAUCGGCCACACUGGGACUGAGACACGGCCCAGACUCCUACGGGAGGCAGCAGUGGGGAAUAUUGCACAAUGGGCGGAAGCCUGAUGCAGCCUCGCCGCGUGGGGGAUGACGGUCUUCGGAUUGUAAACCCCUUUCAGUAGGGACGAAGCGCAAGUGACGGACCU
rnacentral:rRNA from 1 species